UACGGGGGGUCCAAGCGUUGUUCGGAAUCACUGGGCGUAAAGCGUACGUAGGUGGCUUUUCAAGUCUGUUGUGAAAGCCCAGGGCCUAACCCUGGAAGUGCAGCAGAUACUGUUAAGCUUGAGUAUGGGAGAGGAUAGUGGAAUUCCAGGUGUAGUGGUGAAAUACGUAGAUAUCUGGAGGAACACCGGUGGCUAAGGCGGCUAUCUGGCCCAAUACUGACACUAAAGUACGAAAGCGUGGGGAUCAAACAGG
rnacentral:rRNA from 1 species